rnacentral:rRNA from 1 species
GACGAACGCUGGCGGCGUGCCUAAUACAUGCAAGUCGAACGCUUCUUUCCUCCCUAGUGCUUGCACUCAAUUGGAAAGAGGAGUGGCGGACGGUUUAUUAACACGUGGGUAACCUACCCAUCAGAGAGGGAUAACACUUGCAAACAGGUGCUAAUACCGCGUAACAGUUUAUGCCGCAUGGCAUAAGAGUGAAAGGCGCUUUCGGGUGUCGCUGAUGGAUGGACCCGCGGUGCAUUAGCUAGUUGGUGAGGUAACGGCUCACCAAGGCCACGAUGCAUAGGGGACAUGAGAGGGUGGAUGGACAGACUGGGAGUGAGAAAGGGCAGAGACACUUGCGCGAGGACACAGUAGGGAAUCUUAGGCAAUGGAGGAAAGUCUGACCUAGCAACGUCGCGUGAGUGAAGAAGUAGUUAUGAUCGGAAAACUAUGUUGUUAGAGAAGAACAAGGACGUUAGUAACUGAACGGCUCCUGACGGUAUCUACCGAGAAAGCCACGGCUAACUCCGUG